rnacentral:lncRNA from 1 species
UUCGACACAGUCGAGGUGAUUCACACAGUCGAGGUGAUUUGACACAGUCGAGGUUAUUCGACACAGUCGACGUGAUUCACACAAUGAUGAUACACCAGGUUCGGUUGUAUUUCAUUUCGGUUCGAGGUGAUUCGACACUAAAAACCGUCUACACGGGUUGAGUACAUCCUAUGUCGCCGCAUACGUUAAUGUCCUCGCGAAACAUUAACGAUCAACCUGUUCAUAGACGCUUUACAUACCCAUUUACAACACUAAAACUUUCAUAUGUUCAUAAGAUUCAUUUGAUGGAAACUCAGAAAUACAUGGAUUUAUAAACUUUGGUAACGUUUUUCAAAUUAUGCCUAAGUAAGAGGACGCGCUGAUCCUGCUUACAAAGGUUCGUUUGG